rnacentral:rRNA from 1 species
GGACAGACUCUUUGAAAUGAAAGUGCUUGCACCGGAUUUGAUUUGGAUUUCUGUUAGUGGCGAACGGGUGAGUAACACGUGGGCAACCUGCCCCUUAGUUGAGGAUCACUAUUGGAAACGAUAGCUAAUACUGAAUACGAUGUACAAACGCAUGUGAGUACAUUGAAAGAAGCGUUUGCUUCGCUAAGGGAUGGGCCUGCGGUGCAUUAGCUAGUUGGUACAGUAACGGCGUACCAAGGCGACGAUGCAUAUCCGGGCUGAGAGGCUGAACGGACACAUUGGGACUGAGACACGGCCCAAACUUCUACGGAAGGCUGCAGUAGGGAAUUUUUCGCAAUGGGCGCAAGCCUGACGAAGCAAUGCCGCGUGAGGGAUGAAGGUUUUCGGAUUGUAAACCUCUGUUAUAAGGGAAGAAAACCUAGCAUAGGAAAUGAUACUAGCUUGACGGUACCUUAUCAGAAAGGGACGGCUAACUACGUGCCAGCAGCCGCGGUAAUACGUAGGUCCCGAGCGUUAUCCGGAAUUAUUGGGCGUAAAGAGCAUGUAGGCGGUCUAUUAAGUCUGGUGUGAAAUCUAGUGGCUCAACCACUAAAUUGCAUUGGAAACUGAUAAACUAGAAUACUGGAGGGGCAAGUGGAAUUCCAUGUGUAGCGGUGGAAUGCGUAGAUAUAUGGAGGAACACCAAUGGCGAAGCAGCUUGCUGGACAGUAAUUGACGCUGAAUGCGAAAGCGUGGGUAGCAAACAGGAUUAGAUACCCUGGUAGUCCACGCCGUAAACGAUGAGUGCUAGGCAUUGGGAUAACUCAGUGCCGAAGCUAACGCAUUAAGCACUCCGCCUGGGGAGUACGGUCGC